rnacentral:lncRNA from 1 species
UCGGGUCUAGAAAACUAGGUAAUUAUGAAAUGAAAGCAGACCCAGAACUCAAAAAUGUUAUGUCCAACCUAGUGAAUGGGAUGAACAAUUUAAGUAAAAAGUUUGAUGCUUUUACUGUUUCCACUAGUUCGAGUUCAUACAAAGAGUCAAAUCCCAUCAUGAAAGUGGAACACGAGUCAUAUAGUUUGUGUGUCUUGUGUAACAGUCCAGAGCAUCUAGUGGAGUGCUGCCCUAAUCUGCCCAUCAUAAA